CGCAAAUUAUAGAAAGAAAAAACAAGCAUCGUUUGCCGAUGUUAAAGUAGAAUGAAGAUAAUUUACCUGCGACCACAAAAGAAUGGUUCCUUUGAAGCCAAAUUUCACCACCACACAAAGUAAUAAUGUAUUACAAGUUCAGAUUUUCCUCAAUAUGAUACAAAUAAUGAAAAAAGCAAAAAAAAUCGUAGAAAUUCAAUAAAGGUGUAGUUUGUCCAGGAAGUUGAUACAGAAAAGAAACAAGUUUCGGUAAUCGAUUCCGUAGAGAAAAGGGACUUCCUUUUUCUUGCAUUCAAUUUCCCUAUUGUUUCUUCAAUUUUCUCUCUCGUAUCUGUUCUCCCAAUCGUCUAUUUGAUAAAUUAUAAAGAAGACGUCAGGUCUAAG
rnacentral:lncRNA from 1 species